rnacentral:rRNA from 1 species
GAUGAACGCUAGCUACAGGCUUAACACAUGCAAGUCGAGGGGCAGCAUGCAGGUAGCUUGCUAUCUGUGAUGGCGACCGGCGCAAGGGUGCGUAACGCGUGAGCGACAUGCCCGUGACCGGGGGAUAACCGAUGGAAACGUCGCCUAACCCCCCAUACUACCGUGGGUCGCAUGGUCCAUGGUUGAAAACUCCGGUGGUCACGGAUUGGCUCGCGUCCCAUUAGCUAGUCGGCGGGGUAACGGCCCACCGAGGCGACGAUGGGUAGGGGUUCUGAGAGGAAGGUCCCCCACAAUGGAACUGAGACACGGUCCAUACUCC